rnacentral:tRNA from 1 species
GGCACGGUCGCCAAGUGGUAAGGCAGCAGUCUGCAAAACUGCUAUCGCGGGUUCGAUUCCCGCCCGUGCCU